UGGGGAAUCUUGCACAAUGGGGGAAACCCUGAUGCAGCGACGCCGCGUGAGCGAUGAAGGUUUUCGAAUCGUAAAGCUCUGUCCUAUGGGAAGAUAAUGACGGUACCAUAGGAGGAAGCCCCGGCUAACUACGUGCCAGCAGCCGCGGUAAUACGUAGGGGGCGAGCGUUGUCCGGAAUUACUGGGCGUAAAGGGUUCGCAGGCGGCAUGACAAGUCCGAUGUAAAAGGCGAAAGCUCAACUUUCGUAAGCAUCGGAAACUGUCAAGCUUGAGUGAAGGAGAGGCAAGUGGAAUUCCUAGUGUAGCGGUGGAAUGCGUAGAUAUUAGGAGGAAUACCGGUGGCGAAGGCGACUUGCUGGACUUCAACUGACGCGGAGGAACGAAAGCGUGGGUAGCAAACAGG
rnacentral:rRNA from 1 species